CCCGUGUAUACUCCUCUUCACUUGCCUGCCUCUGUCUCCCGCAUCGCGAUCAGUCAUCUCCUCCCAGCCUCCCCCGCCUCGCCGGAGAUCACGAGAGGCGGCGCUCCACAUCCCCGCGAUGGACGCCUCCUACCGCCGCUCAGGUGCGGGCGGCGGCGGCGGCUCAGCCCCCCGCACCGUCGAGGACAUCUUCAAGGACUACCGCGCCCGCCGCAACGCCAUCCACCGCGCCCUCACCCACGACGUCGAGGAGUUCUACGCGCAGUGCGAUCCAGAGAAGGAGAACCUGUGCCUGUACGGGUACGCCAACGAGGCGUGGGAGGUGGCGCUGCCCGCGGAGGAGGUGCCCACCGAGCUGCCGGAGCCGGCGCUCGGGAUCAACUUUGCGCGCGACGGGAUGAAGCGCAGCGACUGGCUCGCGCUCGUCGCCGUCCACUCCGAUUCGUGGCUUGUCUCCGUAGCUUUCUACUAUGCCGCGCGGCUCACCCGCAACGACCGGAAGCGUUUAUUUGGCAUGAUGAAUGAUUUGCCAACCGUGUAUGAAGUCAUCUCAGGUAUGAGACAAUCGAAGGAGAGGGACAGAUCGGGUGGUAUUGACAACAGCGGUAGAAACAAGCUGCCAUCAAAGCAUACAGUCGAGGCGCCGCCACCACCACGUACAGAAAAUAACGCCAGGGAUGCCGAUGAAGGCUACGAUGAAGAUGACGGCGACCACAGCGAGACCUUAUGCGGAACAUGCGGUGGCAUAUACAGCGCCGAGGAAUUCUGGAUUGGGUGCGAUGUGUGCGAGAGGUGGUACCAUGGCAAGUGCGUGAAGAUAACUCCGGCGAAGGCGGAGAGCAUAAAGCAGUACAAAUGCCCAAGCUGCAGCUCCAAGAGACCUAGGCAGUAGCAGCGCCGCCUCCUUUUGGCGGGGGACGGCCCCCAUGGACGGGGGCCUUGAAGCAGCAGCAGCAGCGGUUGAGACUUUAGACUCCUUGUGCAAGGCUAACUACUACCGUCUUGCUAUGUUUACUGUACCUUUCGUUUCAGGUUUACAUAUGGUGAUGAUGCUAAUGCUUGUGAGGGAAGAUGACACACAUUUUCAAAGCCUUCUAAUGUUUCCAUGUCCUGAAGAGGAGUCAAAGGUGUAUGUUGCCGGGAAGGGAUAGUAGAAUGAUGAAAAUAUGUGUAACUUUUCAUGGGAAGUUCAUGUUCCAAUAAUCCGGGAGGUUUAUUUAUACUAUUCUAUCUAUGUUAAUAUAUGUAUUAUUAGUCUGUUCAGCUGUCA
rnacentral:rRNA from 1 species